UGACAACGGCGUCAGCAACUCAGUCCUUUGCGAAGCGAGAAUCACCAAGAUCGGCAAUUUCAUUCGAGUCCAAGUCAUGAGUAAGUUGAGGGACAGCUUCCGGAACCAAGUUUUUGAAGACGUCGAUGAAUGUUUCAACGCCGUUGCCCCAUAAGGCCACAGCACCGCCCGGCUGUCUGCUUUUGGUUGCGGCACUUACCUUGUUUAUCGGAACGUGACAUGUCCCUUCAAGCACUCAACUUUCGUUUACGAAGUUUCGUGUUUAUUUACUUUAUAUUUAUUUAUUCGCACAUACUGCAGCGCUCAUGGCGCUUUGGCAGAAGUGUGAUGAAGAAUAUAUUUGAAUAUGUCUUGCUUCAAAAACUUCGCAUGAGGUGUGUCAAAAAGGCGUGAUUUUUUGUUGUGCGCUUUCAUUUCUUCUG